AGCUCCAAUAGCGUAUAUUAAAGUUGUUGCAGUUAAAAAGCUCGUAGUUGGAUUUCUGGUAGGAGCGACCGUGUUGAACUUGAUUGUUUGUGUAUUGUGUUGUCUUCAGCCAUCCUCGUGGAGAACUUUUCCGGCAUUAAUUUGUCGGGAUUGGGACCCGCGUCGUUUACUGUGAAAAAAUUAGAGUGUUUAAAGCAGGCAAUCGCUUGAAUACAUUAGCAUGGAAUAAUAAGAUAGGACUUUGGUACUAUUUUGUUGGUUUGCAUACCAAAUUAAUGAUCAACAGGAACAGUUUGAGGAUAUUCGUAUGAACAUGUCAGAGGUGAAAUUCUUGGAUUUUGAUCAGACGAACUACUGCGAAAGCAUUUAUCAAGGAUGUUUUCAUUAAUCAAGAACGAAA
rnacentral:rRNA from 1 species